GACGAACGCUGGCGGCGUGCUUAACACAUGCAAGUCGAACGGAAAGGCCCUGCUUUUGUGGGGUUCUCGAGUGGCGAACGGGUGAGUAACACGUGAGUAACCUGCCCUUGACUUUGGGAUAAUUUCAGGAAACUGGGGCUAAUACCGGAUAGGAGCUCCUGCUGCAUGGUGGGGGUUGGAAAGUUUCGGCGGUUGGGGAUGGACUCGCGGCUUAUCAGCUUGUUGGUGGGGUAGUGGCUUACCAAGGCUUUGACGGGUAGCCGGCCUGAGAGGGUGAACGGCCACAUUGGGACUGAGAUAGGGCCCAGACUGCUACGGGAGGCAGCAGUGGGGAAUAUUGCACAAUGGGCGGAAGCCUGAUGCAGAAACGCUGCGUGCGGGAUGACGGCCUUCGGGGUGUAAACCGCUUUGGCCUGUGACGAAGCGUGAGUGACGGUAAUGGGUAAAGAAGCACCGGCUAACUACGUG
rnacentral:rRNA from 1 species